UGAGGAAUAUUGGCCAAUGGGCGCAAGCCUGAACCAGCCAUCCCGCGUGCAGGAAGACGGCCCUAUGGGUUGUAAACUGCUUUUCCAGGGGGAGUAACUUGCGCACGUGUUGCGCAAUUGACGGUACCCUGGGAAUAAGCAUCGGCUAACUCCGUGCCAGCAGCCGCGGUAAUACGGAGGAUGCGAGCGUUAUCCGGAUUCAUUGGGUUUAAAGGGUGCGUAGGCGGACUAUUAAGUCAGUGGUGAAAUCCUGCAGCUUAACUGCAGAGCGGCGAUUGAUAGUGAUAGCCGUGCGUUUGGUUAAGGUAGGCGGAAUGUGUAAUGUAGCGGUGAAAUGCUUAGAUAUUACACAGAACACCAAGUGCGUAGGAAGCUUACUGAGCCGACACUGACGCUGAGG
rnacentral:rRNA from 1 species